GGUCUGUCAGUGGAUCGGUGCCGCCGCCGUCGUCUCGUCGAUGUUCGAUUUGAAGAUGGUCAACCGUUUUGAACACUGAAUCUUCUAUUACUGAUUGUGGACCACUGGACCUUGACAUAUCUCAUUAGCUUGGAUCAAUGGAUCAACAUACUUUCCAGUUAUUUCUUCGAGCUCCCGGUGCCUACUCCAACUAAUAUUGAUGAGAUCAAGGGCAUGAUGUGGAUUAGACACAUAUGUUGGAGCGUGUUAUGUUCGAAUCAUGCUUUGGGUGAUUUUUUUUUUGAGGGGAUGCUUUGGGUGAUAUUUCACGGAGCAUAAAGACACAAAUUAGGAAAAUGUAGG